CUAUUCAUUCCCUUCUUUCUUUUGUUAAUUGUUGUUUUUCUUUCUGAACUGUGUUUUCAGAUACAGGUAGGAAGGACGCUGUUCGGACGAACAUGUACAAACAAACAAAGGCCUCAUUUUACU
rnacentral:ribozyme from 11 species